rnacentral:lncRNA from 1 species
AUGAAACGAGUCUGCCUGCGCUGCCGCCCCGCCGCCGCCGCCGCCGGGACUCGGUCUCCAAGGGCUCCUGGCGACGGCUCCGAGCGCCCUCCGCCUCCUCUCCGCCGGCCGGCUCCGCCCGCCCGGGGAGGCGGGGCGCACAGCCCGACGGGCGGGGCGCGGCCCGGCCUCCCUCCGCGGCCCGGCCCCCUCCCUGCGGCCGGCGCCCCGGCCCGCCCGGCUUCGGCCGCCGAGCCCGCGUCGUCCCGGGCCGGCGGAGGGGAGCGGCCGCGGGCUGGGCGGCUCCGCAAACGUCUGGCCGCCUUGGCCGUCCCCAUUUUCCCUUCUCGGAAUUCACGGAGGCCCUGGCGUCCAAGGACUCGCGGACACCUCCGCUUCACGACCCUCCACGGGGCCGCCCCGACUCCUUGGAAGGUUCCUUCGCGUGCGAACGCCUGGCCAACCCUUAUGCCAAGCGUCCCCUGGGCCGCGAAUAUGCUGGCUGCCAACCCCCUACACAAAAGUUAGGCUCUGCUCCAGGAAUUUCUUAAGAAAACAGUCACAGUAAAAUUUAAAGGGCCCUGGGGCAACGGAGAGAUUUUGUUUCCCAGAAAGUGGAGCUAUAACUGCGGACUGUUGAAUUUGAAGUCCAUCCGCCCGUCUUGAGCUUCCCCUCCAUCUCUCCCCGGUAAAAUUUGUGUCUCCGAAUGCCCAGUACCUGGCAGAGUUGUGCGUAAUAGUUGGAUUUGGUUGGUCUUUUCUGGAUGGAUUCAGGUCGGGUAGUUUGAAGAGCCACUUCUAUUUCUAGAGACUUCAAACCGUUCAAACGUAUAGCCAUUCAACAAACAUUCAUUGAACACCUGCCGUGUGCCAAGCAUGGUGCUGAAGGUGAUGGGGGAGUUACAAAGAUGCAUCAGACAGGGAGCUCACCCUCGAAGAGUCCAGAGAGAGUCCAGAAGAGGGAUGUGCAGAAAUCUUACAUUCAGCAGACUUCCCGCAAAUUCCUAGGUAUCUGCUUUCUUGUUUGACAGGGUGGAGAAAAAAGAGAAGGUGAGGCCAAAGUAGGUCAUUUAGAACCAGUGUGGGCAGAGUCCAUGUUUGAAAUGGAGUCUAGAAGUGUUGGUGAGGGAUGUCUGCGUGUUGGGUUUCACCAAGUAAAGAGAAGGGAAGCCAAGGGGAGCUGGGAGCCAAGGGCUGCCGUGAGGACAUUGUCUUCACUCUUAGCUUCCUCCUGACCCCUACUCAAGGGUCAUCCUCCGGAAAAUCAUUUGAGCAGAGUGCAGAAGGGAUGCUAACGUUGGAGGAAGUGUGUGGUUGGAUGUCUUGCCCCAGGAGUGUGGUCUUUGCAAACUGUGGAUGGCAGUGGUGGUUGGGUGCAAGCCACAGCCUCCUGGGGGCAGCCUUUAUUUCCCUCUCUGUCCAGUGGUAGGAAAUGCUUGACUGAUUCACGCACAGAUGAUGACAGUUCAAAGGCUCCACCCUAAACCGAGCAGCUGAUGCCAACAGGGCCUGAGAUGGUCCUAUGCUG